rnacentral:rRNA from 1 species
AUUGAACGCUGGCGGCAGGCUUAACACAUGCAAGUCGAGCGGGGUGAUGGUGCUUGCACUAUCACUUAGCGGCGGACGGGUGAGUAAUGCAUAGGAAUCUGCCUAUUAGUGGGGGACAACAUCUCGAAAGGGAUGCUAAUACCGCAUACGUCCUACGGGAGAAAGCAGGGGAUCACUUGUGACCUUGCGCUAAUAUAUGAGCCUAAGUCGGAUUAGCUAGUUGGUGGGGUAAAGGCCUACCAAGGCGACGAUCUGUAGCGGGUCUGAGAGGAUGAUCCGCCACACUGGGACUGAGACACGGCCCAGACUCCUACGGGAGGCAGCAGUGGGGAAUAUUGGACAAUGGGGGGAACCCUGAUCCAGCCAUGCCGCGUGUGUGAAGAAGGCCUUAUGGUUGUAAAGCACUUUAAGCGAGGAGGAGGCUCUUUUGGUUAAUACCCAAGAUGAGUGGACGUUACUCGCAGAAUAAGCACCGGCUAACUCUGUGCCAGCCGCCGCAGUAA